GGGUGUUGCGGAUCAGGCAGGGAGAUGGGCAGCUAAGCACGGGGGCCUGAGGAGGGCUGUUGCCAUGGUAACGCCGAGGCCUGAGGGGCGCCCGGCCCGGGGAGGCCUCGGGGGGCCGGGACGGCUCCUCCGAGUCUCGGUUUAGGGCUGUGGGGUGGGUGUGGUGUAACUGUUGGGGUGACCCCCGGGUGGUACUCGGACACAAGGGGUUCUCUCCCGGCCAGCCUUCGGGGAGCUCUUCUCGCAGCUCAAAAAUGUUUUGUGCCCCAAACAUUGCACAGAUCAAAUGCCCGCAGGGGGUGACCAUCAGAUCCAGCUGUGGCUGCAGAAAGCCCUGAUCACCUGCCCUGGUGUCACAGCUGACCCUGAGCAGGGCGUUAGGCUUCAGAGCCUCCCGGCGUCCUGUCCAACCUGAAUUCCUGUGUGAAUCACCACCAGACCGCUGGGACUGCCUCACCCAAAUGGCAGGGGGUGGAACAGGAUGGUCUUUGAGGUCCCUCCCAACCCAAACCACGCCAGGAUUCCAUGGCUUUAGCUGAGCUGUCAGUAGUGGUCACUGUGUUACAGAUUCACGCCUCUGUUAAACCAGGUUCCCGUUGGCCAUUUGUACAAAGCAGAAAACAUCUUCUGAUUUAAAAUUCCCCUGCCUGCAACACAGUAAUGUCUGAGCUGCUGCCAUCUUCCUUCGAGACUGUCACAGAAGCUUCUUAUCAAUUAAAGGAGGCACGGUUUCGUAUCACACCUAAAACAUGUCAAAAUGCACCCAUGUUGAUAAAGAAGCACAUCAAGAAUUUCUGUGUUAGUGAAUUCCCAGAAACUCACAGGACUGUAGAAUAUCCUGCAUUACAAGGGACCUACAAGGAUCAUCAAGGUCCAGUUCCUGUCAUCAAAGUAAACUGUAUUUGCAGACCUGGCUCUUGGGAAAAUUGUCUUUCAGGUUGUUUGAAUGUUAGUUUGCUAAACUGUUGUCUUGAUAAACUCAUUAAAAAAUGGUGUGAUGUUAUUUUAAAA